ACAUGCAAGUCGAACGAACUUCCGUUAAUUGAUUAUGACGUACUUGUACUGAUUGAGAUUUUAACACGAAGUGAGUGGCGAACGGGUGAGUAACACGUGGGUAACCUGCCCAGAAGUAGGGGAUAACACCUGGAAACAGAUGCUAAUACCGUAUAACAGAGAAAACCGCAUGGUUUUCUUUUAAAAGAUGGCUCUGCUAUCACUUCUGGAUGGACCCGCGGCGUAUUAGCUAGUUGGUGAGGUAAAGGCUCACCAAGGCAGUGAUACGUAGCCGACCUGAGAGGGUAAUCGGCCACAUUGGGACUGAGACACGGCCCAGACUCCUACGGGAGGCAGCAGUAGGGAAUCUUCCACAAUGGACGCAAGUCUGAUGGAGCAACGCCGCGUGAGUGAAGAAGGGUUUCGGCUCGUAAAGCUCUGUUGUUAAAGAAGAACGUGGGUAAGAGUAACUGUUUACCCAGUGACGGUAUUUAACCAGAAAGCCACGGCUAACUACGUGCCAGCAGCCGCGGUAAUACGUAGGUGGCAAGCGUUAUCCGGAUUUAUUGGGCGUAAAGCGAGCGCAGGCGGUCUUUUAAGUCUAAUGUGAAAGCCUUCGGCUCAACCGAAGAAGUGCAUUGGAAACUGGGAGACUUGAGUGCAGAAGAGGACAGUGGAACUCCAUGUGUAGCGGUGAAAUGCGUAGAUAUAUGGAAGAACACCAGUGGCGAAGGCGGCUGUCUGGUCUGCAACUGACGCUGAG
rnacentral:rRNA from 1 species